GGUUUCUGUCGGCUCUAGGGUCCUGUUACAGCCGUCCCUUUCGGCAGGGGCGGCCCUUCGGUCAGAGCUGGGCGAAGCUCCCCUCCCGUCUUGGCCAACCUCUACACAGCGGUCUGGACCGGCCAUCUUAUUUUCUCAGGAAUUCUAGCUGUCCAUCUCCGUUACCGUCCUCAAUUCGUCUUUUCUUUUUGCAUUGUUCCCAUACUCGGUUCAUUCUCCAGUGAGGCAGUGAUCAGGAAUUGGGGCCACACAAGAGCAGGGAUUGCCUUAUUCUUCUAUGUAAACGCCAGCCUCAGGCAGGAUGACUAAAGUGAAAAUAUGAGUUCUGUUUCUUAACGGUAACUAUAGGUGACUCACUCAGCUGUGAUCUAAAACAUGUUAUAAAGAGAGUGUGUGGCAGGGGCUUCCCUGGUGGCGCAGUGGUUAAGAGUCCACCUGCUAAUGCAGGGGACACGAAUUUGAGCCCUGGUCCGGGAAGAUCCCACAUGCGGCGGAGCACCUAAGCCCGUGCGCCACAGCUACUGAGCCUGCGCUCUAGAGCCCCUGAGCCACAACUACUGAAGUCCUCGUGCGUAGAGCCCGUGCUCCUCAACAAGAGAAGACAGCGUAAUGAGAAGCCCACACACCGCAAUGAAGCGUAGCCCCUGCUCAGCACAGCUAGAGAAAGCUCUUGCGCAGCAACGAAGACCCAACACAGCAAUAAAUAAAUAAGGGUGAAUCCAGGCAAAGACUGGCGACAGACCACCCUAGCCUUACCAGGGAGUUUGCUGUCUUCUUAUCCCCCUGAGAUCUCUGCUCCUCUCCAGAUUUUCUCAACUCCUUCAGAUGCCCCAGCUGCUUCUGAAUUUGUUCCUGGAAAAAAAGAGCACUUGUCAAAGCUUGAACUUGGCUCCUGCCAUUUUGGUGCCAACUCUAGAUGGGAAAACUUGCUUCAGGGAAUAAAGCUGAGGGUGAGGCAGCCAAGAGCACAGGGAGAGGUACCCAGGAAAGAGGAAGAAUGAAUCCAUCACACCAAAGGAAGCAGAACCAAGAGGCAGUGAGAAAGAUUUCUAAUGACCUCUUGUGAGCACCUGGAUUCAGCCAUACCUGAAGCUAGAUUCCCAUAGACCUCUGAGCUACAUGAACCAGUAAAUCCCUCUUUGCUGGCUUGCUUUGUAUUGUGUUUGCCAUUUACAGCCCAAAGAUGCUGGCCAAUGCACCAACUCCCAGGGUUUUGGGGGAAAUGAAGCAAGCCCCGAUGUGUUCAAGUGCCCAGCAGAGAAGGACCCCAAAGCAGGAAGCCCUACCUUGUAUUCCAGGGCGGCCUCCUCGAUGGGGCGAACCCGGUGGCCUCGGUGCUCCUGACUCAGCCCGCAGAUGAGGCAGAUGGGUUCCCCGUGGUCCUCGCAGAAGAGCAGCUGGACCUGCUUCAUGUGACGCUCACACUGUGGCAGGGACUUGGGGCUCAGGCUGGCCAUCUGCAGGCCCUCCUGCCACUCGAGGCUUCCAUGGCUCUCCCCCGGGAGCAAGUCCUGGCACCGAGGGCAGCUGGAUGAGUGGCCGCGUGAGGCCUCAGGAUCCCUAGAAGCAACGGAGCAGCUGCAGGAAACAUGCACGCAGCUGCCACCAACCGGGUCUCCUUCCUGGACACGGCAAAGGGGACACACAGCCUUGUCCUGCGGCCUCCCUGGGGACAUAGCAGUGGAAAAAUCUCAUGAGUGACAAACCCAAGAUGUUACCAAGGAAUGCUGCAAAUCACAGCUUAGCGAGAGUCCGUGCCUGGGAUACGUACAUUCUCGGUUAGACUGAGGCCUCUCCCUAGCUUGUCCUCCCCCGACUUCCCUCCAGCAAGGUAGCAAAGGAGCCACUGGGACUGAGGGCUAAGCGCUAGAUCUCAUACCAGUCCUGAGGAUUGGAAUUCUUGGGCAUUUAUCCUAAAGAAAGGCCUUUUGCUACAAAUUCUAUGCCUUCCUCCUGCACGUACACUGAUACAGGUGAUAUAAAGAUAGUAAGACAUUCUGACUGGUGUUUGCCACUUAACCACCACCUAGACUGCUCAUAACUUGCGUAGGGCUCCCAAGGGAUGAUGACUCGCUCAUGGCCAGACCCCCAGCCCCUAGCAGAAUCCCUGGCAUGUGGUGAGCAUUUGGGAAGUGCGUGUUGAAUGAAGGAAUGAAUGGGCCACUGCUCACAUCCAGAUUCAGGAAGCAUGAAGUGAAAGUAAAGAAGGGGACUUUACAAGACUGAAGGGUAUAGCCCACCGUGAUGACCUACAGCUGUGACCAGCUCUGCCCCAAGACCAUAGCACAGAUUCAUAAAGCAGAAAUGACAGGAGAUACAGGAGGAAUAGAAACGUACUCAAUCCACGAGUCCCCUCCUGCCACCUCCUCUCGCAGGGUCCCAGGAAUUCAUAUCACAUCUGCAAGUGAGACUGCGAGCUCCCCAGUGACCGUUUUCCCCUCCUUCCCUUGUGAUAGCAUUGAUUGCUGUCCAUAUGGCUGUUCCCCGCCCCCUCCCCCCAAAAAACUACAUUUCUUAGCUUCCCUUGCAGUUAGAUGUGGUCAUGUGACUCCAGACACACCUCACUUCAUUGCACUUCACUUUAUUGCCCUUCACAGACUUCAUUUUUUACAAAAUGAAGGUUUGUGGCAACCCUGUGUUGUCAGAUGAUGGUGAACAUUUUUUAGCAAUAAAGUUUCUUUUUUUUUGCAAUAAAGUAUAUUUAAGUUAA